GACGAACGCUGGCGGCGUGCUUAACACAUGCAAGUCGAACGGAAAGGCCCUGCUUUUGUGGGGUGCUCGAGUGGCGAACGGGUGAGUAACACGUGAUUAACCUGCCCUUGACUUUGGGAUAACUUCAGGAAACUGGGGCUAAUACCGGAUAGGAGCUCCUGCUGCAUGGUGGGGGUUGGAAAGUUUCGGCGGUUGGGGAUGGACUCGCGGCUUAUCAGCUUGUUGGUGGGGUAGUGGCUUACCAAGGCUUUGACGGGUAGCCGGACUGAGAGGGUGACCGGCCACAGUGGGACUGAGAUAGGGGCAGGACUGCUACGGGAGGCAGCGGUGGGGAACAUUGCGCAAUGGGCGGAAGCCUGAAGCAGCAACGUCGGGUGCGGGAGGACGGCUGUCGGGGUGGAAACCGCUUUCGCCUGGGACGAAGCGUGAGUGACGGUAAUGUAUAAAGAAGCACCGGCUAACUACGUG
rnacentral:rRNA from 1 species